UGCUCAGAUUGAACGCUGGCGGCAGGCCUAACACAUGCAAGUCGAGCGGUAACAGGGGAAGCUUGCUUCUCGCUGACGAGCGGCGGACGGGUGAGUAAUGUAUGGGGAUCUGCCCGAUAGAGGGGGAUAACUACUGGAAACGGUAGCUAAUACCGCAUAAUCUCUCAGGAGCAAAGCAGGGGAACUUCGGUCCUUGCGCUAUCGGAUGAACCCAUAUGGGAUUAGCUAGUAGGUGAGGUAAUGGCUCACCUAGGCGACGAUCCCUAGCUGGUCUGAGAGGAUGAUCAGCCACACUGGGACUGAGACACGGCCCAGACUCCUACGGGAGGCAGCAGUGGGGAAUAUUGCACAAUGGGCGCAAGCCUGAUGCAGCCAUGCCGCGUGUAUGAAGAAGGCCCUAGGGUUGUAAUAGUACUUUCAGUCGGGAGGAAGGCGUUGAUGCUAAUCAUC
rnacentral:rRNA from 1 species